GGGGGUAUAGCUCAGUUGGUAGAGUGCUUGCCUAGCAUGCACAAGGCCCUGGGUUCAAUUCCCAACACCACAA
rnacentral:tRNA from 1 species